GUUGGUAGCUGCACCACCUGCAGUUUAGAGCAGGUCAUCCACCUGAAGCUAAGCAGGUUUGGUCCUGGUCAGUACUUGGAUGGGAGACCAACUGCAAAAGCUGGGUUACUGCUGGAA
rnacentral:rRNA from 1 species